CCAGAAUAUAAGGCUUGGCUAAAUUAUUGAUAGUCUGUAUAAUGCCAGUGUAUACAUUUAAUUCCUUUCAUAGUUCAUACAUGUAGUUUUCCCCUAAGCAUAGAGUUUAGAGUACUUUGAUAAUAUACUAUUCUCUUUGUGAAUUGCAGCAGCCUAAACUGUACUAAUUCUUUAUCACCUUAAUGCUGGUUUUAAUACUACUGGUGUCAGACAUGAAAAAAAAAAUGUUCGUCAUAGUUUAGAAGUCUAAUGGCAGAUAUUGGUCUGGUGCUAUUCAUGAUUAAUACACUGCCCUUAUACAUUAUACCUUCUUGCAUGAACUUAUGUGUAUUGUUUCUAACUUUAUUUGAAUAUACUCUUUCUAAUGCAUGAUUUUUUUGUGUUCAGGGUUUGAUGGAAAAAGUAAAAUCACAACCAGAUACUUCACUUGCUGAGGUACAGAAUCACUCUUCAGUUAAAGGGACUGAAAAAGCCACUUCCAAAAGACAAAAGUCUCACAAAAAAUUUAGAAGGAAAAGAAGCAAUAAGAAAAGUGUGCAACAGCAAGAAGGUCAAUCUGGAAAAAGUAAAAAGAGGAAACAACCUCAUCUCCAUGGUAAAUCAAAGCAGUUCAAAAGGAGUUAAUUCAUCAAUAAUUUAUCACACAUUUCAUAGGUUCAAGUUGGAUGGGAUCAAAGCUACAGAUUACAAGUCUUUGGUUGAGGCAUGAGGCACUCCAUAGCACAGUGACUUAGAAAGAAGUAGGGCUUGAAAAACACUUGAAUUCAAGCUUGUCCUUCACUCUCAGACAAGCAGCUAUCAAAUUUUGCUUGCCCCAGGCAACUUAAAAUUUACUAUUUUGUUACUGGCAGAUGAUUUCCCUAGGCUCUUGCCCAUCGGCAAGCAAGCAAGAAUGAGAAGUUACCUGCCCUGCAGGAAAAUCUACUUGUCCUGGACAAUGCGGCAACACUUUUUGCGAGCCCUGAAGAAGUGAAUAUAGACAACAACAGCCAGGAAGAACUUCAAGUCCAAACUACAAUGCAAUUUAAUGUAAUUCAUUAUCAAUAACUUUUGGGAAGAGCUGUAUUUGAAACUUUAGAAACAAGAAGAAAUCUCAUUUCACAGUGGCUCAAAGGGCCAUUUCUGUGGACAAAACAAAAGCUAUAUUGUCCCGAGUAAUGAUCCCACAACAACUGCAAGAUGAGACUCACCCCAGAUUUCUUCUAGUUUUGAAAGUGGCAAA